rnacentral:rRNA from 1 species
UACGGAAGGGGGCUAGCGUUGCUCGGAAUCACUGGGCGUAAAGCGCACGUAGGCGGAUUGCUAAGUCAGGGGUGAAAUCCUGGAGCUCAACUCCAGAACUGCCUUUGAUACUGGCGACCUUGAGUCCGGGAGAGGUGAGUGGAACUGCGAAGUGUAGAGGUGAAAUUCGUAGAUAUUCGCAAGAACACCAGUGGCGAAGGCGGCUCACUGGCCCGAGUACUGACGCUGAGGUGCGAAAAGCGUGGGGAGCCAAACAGG